rnacentral:ncRNA from 1 species
AAUGAUAGAGGCGCAAUUAUUAAGAGUAACUUAAAGCAAUGCAGGCAGCAGUUUUAAGUGAAAGGGAUAAUUGCCGAAGUGUCAGCUUUAUGCCUUAAGAGUUGAUGCUGGACCGUUGUAAAAUAUGCAGCGGGCUGUCACUUAUGUGGAGAGCUAUCAU